rnacentral:lncRNA from 1 species
AGGGAGAGAGAGGGGAAAGGGAGAUACCUCGUCAGUUGUACAAUUUAAUGCUUUCAACUGAAAUGUGUCUUUCGCAUUUAACCCAACCUCUGAAUCAGAGAGGUGCAGGGGGCUGCCUUAAUUGACAUCCACAUCAUCGGUGCACGGGGAACAGUGCGCUAACUUCCUUGCUCAGGGGCAGAACGACAUAUUUUUACCUUGUUACCUGCCCAACGCUCAUAUACGGGAGGGGUGCUCGUGACUGUUUCACUGGUGUGUAUUCAUGGGUGCCAAGGGAAGCCAGGUAGCUCCAAAUUUUUAAACAAUAAAAAAAUUAAAUAAUCAUUUGAGGAUGUUUAAAUGUUUAAAUUGAAUGGUGCUGGAACAGUGGUGCUCCUGUUGUCUUUAUGCUGAUUUGUGAUAACUCUGUUGUUCUAAAUCAGUAGUUGUUUAGUAAACUGUUGAAAACAUUAACUUGCUUGACCAUACUGCAGAUGAUAACUGUGUGUAUGCAAUAUUUGCUUUGUGGACUUCACCGGACAGAUGUUGCUCUUCGGUUUUGUGAUGAAACAAACCUAUGUGUAGUUGAAUUUUUUCGGCCAGUGUGACUGUUGUCCUUUCGUUGUCACGGCCUUAUUGUAUAUCACGGUGGCGUAUGAACGAAUAGGUUAUAGAGCAAACAACACAAUUAUCACAACAGGUUGUAAUAUGGCUUUUUUACAGGCUUGGCUUGGCUUCCUAAGUGAUUUUACCAACACAUUGCUACUGGACUGUUCACACACUUGUUUUGACCACAACAUGACAGUAAGAGAAAGAAAACAGGUAUGAGUUGAACGUAACAGUAUGUGUGUGGACGGGAGGACAGUAGCAGGUGACCCAACUGUGGUUUGUGACUACUAUGAAUACCCAUUGUAGCCAAUUCAGUUGCGGUCAUUCUGCGUACUGAUUUUCUGGUCAUUCUGUUACUGAUUUGGUAAUAGAAUGAUGCAUUUUAAUUACUUAAAUCAUAAACAAUUUUUUCAGUAUAAACACUAUAACUAAUUGGUAGGUGUACCUUUACUUGUUACUUCUGUGAACUUUCAUAAUCCUCCCUCAUGAGGUAGAGAAAUACAAAAAUGUCCUAAAGAUAAUGUUUUUCUUUUGGUGACAGAAUGGCAAGACGCUAGGGAAUAUUUCUUAAAUUUACAGAAAGCAAAUAGUUUCUGCCAAAACUAAAUAUAAAUGUUGCUAUUAGUUGGCAGGGGUCUUCAACGUUGUAAUGAGUGCGAUGGGAGACAGAGAGCUGGUUUCAAGCACAGGGCGCAGCAGGUGUUUAAUAGUAAAGGGCCACGGAAGGAGGCAGGUAGCUGGGUCUAGGUGCAGGCAGAAGGUCAUACAUAGGGACUCCAAAAAGGUAACAGUACAGGCAGGGAAGAUCAGGCAAGAGGUUGAUGACAGGAAAUCUGAUAGGCAAAAGUACAGGCAGGGAAUAGAUACAUGGGAGUACUAAUACAGAAAUAAACAGAGCUCUGAAUAGAAUGUGUAUAAAAAACCAACAAUACCUCACAAUGAUGGUGUGCAAAGAAAUUAACUAAAUCGUGUGUUUAAAUGACAAACAGGUGAUCAGAAUUCAGUUGAUUGGGAUCUGGAGAGUGAGCUGCUUUUAGGGGAUCUAUGUGUUUGAGAGUGUGAGCUGGAAAGUGGGCUGGAAAGUGAGCUGCGUUCAGGGAUCUAUGUGUUUGAGAGUAUGAGUUGGAAACAGACGUUACAAACAUGUAUUUCUAAUUCCUUUUAAGACUUUUUCUGCUAUAUGUUGUCUAAGACCCCUUUUCCAUCUGUUUUACCAGAAUUCAAAGCCUUUGCUUUUUCCACAUCUUUGGGAUGGAAAAUGGUUGAAUGUAUAUGUGCCUCAAUUAAAAACAAAUAUAGACCCUUAGCUUUCAUUUGACACCAAAUCUGAUGUGCUCCUCUGAGCCUCACGUUAGAUUUCAUGGGGCUUUUUACAUGGAAAUGCCCAUAUCCACCUACCCAGAGGAACUGCAGCAUCUCAUAACCCCUCCACUCACUUGGUGGAUACAGUAUCUUACCACCACGCCCAUUCUAUCUUCUGGCCCUCGGGUGCAAGUUUUGUCUUUCGCCCUAGCACUAUACAGUUGAUUGAAAUAAUCAAAGCUUGAUGAUGAGUUGGUUAUUUUAAUAAUCUGUGUAGUGCUAAGGCAAAACCCCAAAUGUGCACACGGGGGGGGGGCAGGACCGUGUUUGGGAAACCCUGCCCUAGAGCGCUGGUUACUAAUUUAAUAACCUGAAAUCUGACCCAGUGCCGCUGACUGGACUGGCAGGAAAAGUUGCAUCCGUUUUCUGGGAAGUAUUAAGAUUAGCUUGCUAACAGAUAUGAGAUGGUAAAGUGUGCAGGAGGAGCAUCCCAGUGCUGCCUGGAAAGUGUGUCAGUUACCUGGGGGAUUGACCAAACAAUACAGAGAGUGGCAGGGCUCAAACCAAAGGUUGCAUUACUAGGUGGAGAUCGGCCCCGCCCUUCAAAGUUGUGAGAACCAAAACCUGGUCUAAGCUACAGGGUCACCUGAGAGAGAGGUGUGGAAAGAGUCAGGGGAGAGGAGAAAGAGAGAGAUGCAACCAGAGAUGGGGGGGGGGGUGCGGACAAACUGACAGACAGACAAAGUGGUGCCAGGCACUGCCUAUGCCCUACAGCCACACCUCUCCCAGCUUCAUCCCAAGCCUCACUGCCAACCCCAGGCCCACCCCAGCCCCAGCCCAAGAUCCCCUGCUGGCCAGCUGUUCCUUGGCCACCAUGAUACUCCCCAGGAGAUUUUCUCAAGCUCUGUUAAGUUAGAUGGGGAGGGGAGCCAAACAGCAAUCUUCAAGUCUUUCCACAGAUGUUCAAUGGGAUUCAAGUCUGGUAUUUGGCUGGGCCACUCAAGGACUUUCACUUUCUUGUUCUGAAGCCAUUCCAGCGUUGCUUUGGCUGUAUGCUUGGGGUCAUUGUCCUGUUGGAAUGUAAAUCUUCGUCCCCCAGUCUAAGGUUGUUUGAACUCUGAAGCAGGUUCUCAUCAAGGAAUUGCCUGUAUUUGGCUCCAUUCUAUCCUUACCAGUCUCCCAGUGCCUGCCACUGAAAAGCGUCACCAUAGCAUUAUUGCUACUACCACCACGCUUCACAGUAGGGGUGGUGUUUACCACCACAAAACAAUGCUGGCACUAAGACCGCACUCAACAAUUUGUAUAGGGUCAUAAGCAAUCACCCAGAGGUGGCGCAUACGUGGCUAGUGACUUUAAUGCAGAAAAACUGAAAUUUGUUUUACCUCAUUUCUACCAGCAUUUUACCUGUGCAACUAGAGGCAAAGAAACUGUAGAUCACCUUUACUCCACACACAGAAAUGCAUACAAAGCUCUCUCGCUCUCUUCUUUGGCAAAUCUGAUCAUAACUCCAUCUUCCUGAUUCAAGCUUACAAGCAAAAGGUCAAAUGGGAAGUACCAGUGACGCGCUCAAUACAGAAGUGGUCCGAUGAAGUGGAUACAGCCAGAGCCUAGACUUGUUUCGCUAGCACAGACUGGAAUAUUUUCCCUGGAUUAAUCCGAUGGCAUUAAGGAGUUUACCAAAUCAGUCACCAACUUCAUUAACAAGAGCCCAGCAGCAACAAUGUUAUCCCCACAUUGACUGUACGUUCAUAUCCCAAUCAGAAGCCAUGGAUUACUGAGCUAAAGGCUAGAGCUUCUGCUCCUUGUCAAUCUACACACAAUACCCCACAGUGACAAAGCGAAAAAUUAUUUUUAGACAUUUUUGCACAUUCAUUACAAAUAAAAAAAUAGAAAUACCUUAUUUACACAAGCAUUCAGACCCUUUGCGAUGAGACUUGAAAUUGAGCUCAGGUACAUCCUGUUUCCAUUGAUCACCCUUGAUGUUCACCUGUGGUGAAUUUAAAUGAUUGGACAUGAUUUGGAAAGGCACACACCUGUCUAUAUAAGGUCCCAUAGUUGACAGUGCAUGCCAGAGCAAAAACCAAGCCAUGAGGUCAAAGGAAUUGUCCGUAGAGAUCCGAGACAGGAUUGUGUCGAGGCACAGAUCUGGGGAAGGGUACCAAAAAAUUUCUGCAGCAUUGCAGAAGAUCCCCAAUGCAGUGGCCUCCAUCAUUCUUAAUUAGAAGAAGUUUGGAUCCACCAAGACUCUUCCUAGACCUGGCCACUUGGCCAAACUGAGCAAUCGGGGGAUAAGGGCCUUGGUCAGGAAGGUGACCAAGAACCUGAUGGUCACUCUGACAGAGCUCCAGAGUUCCUCUGUGGAGAUGGGAGAACCUUCCAGAAGGACAACCAUCUCUGCAGCACUCCACCAAUCAGGCCUUUAUGGUAGAGUGGCCAGACGGAAGCCACACCUUAGUAAAAGGCACAUGACAGCCCGCUUGGAGUUUGUCAAAAGGCACCUAAAGACUCUCAGACCAUGAGAAACAACAUUCUCUGGUCUGAUGAAACCAAGAUUGAACUCUUUGGCCUGAUUGCCAAGAAUCAAGUCUGGAGGAAACAUGGCACCAUCCCUACGUUGAAGCAUGGUGGUGGCAGCAGCAUGCUGUGAGGAUGUUUUUCAGUGGCAGGGAGUGGGAGACUAGUCAGUAUAGAGGGAAAGAUGAACGGAGCAAAGUACAGAGAGAUCCUUGAUGAAAAUGCAGGAGUGGCUUUGGGACAAUUCUCUGAAUGUGCUCGAUUGAACAUCUCUGGAGAGACCUGUAAAUAGCCAUGCAGCGACGCUCACAGUUAGUCUACACCUGUUGUUUAUGAAGCAUGUGACAAAUAACAUUUGAUUUGAUUUUGUUAGACGUGUGAUGAGCUGUGCCUAGUUUUCUCCAGACAUAGCGCUUUGUAUUCAGGCCAAAGAGUACAUUUUUUGUCUCAUCAGACCACAUAAUCCUUUGCCUUAUGAGGUGUGCUGUCAUGAGACUUUUUCUCAGGAGUGGCUUCCAUCUGGCCACUUUCCCAUAAAUCCCACAUUGGUGAAGUGCUGUAGAGACUGUUGUCCUUCUGUCAGGUUCUCCCAAUCUCAGCCAAUGAACUCUGUAGUUCUGUCAGAGUGGUCAUUGCGUCACGUCUGCUCCUGCUCCUCCCCUCCGGUGAACAACCUCACCAGAGUACAUUAUGAUUCACACCUGGACUCCUUUACUGUCAUCAUUUCCUCCUCUUUAUAUGUCACUCUCCCAUGUUCACUCACCAGUUGGUAUUGUUCUUGUGUAUCAGCGUACUGCCUUAUGUUAGUGUCAUUUUGUUGUUUUAUUAAAAUGUUUCACCUGCUUCCGACUCACCGCCCCAUCAUUAUAGAAUACCAACUCAAAAUAUGGAAGCAGCAGGACAACUGGACAUCUCCCAGACGUCAACACAAUGAUCAGCUGGCUCAACUGGGGAUGGCCUUUGAAGAUGUUCUCCGCAUUCUACAACGUCUCAACAGCGGAGGAUAUUCUAAAGCCAGUCUACCCAACGAGUCAGCACAUGAGCCCAUUCAGCAACCCGCUCAGGUCAGCGAUGCCCGUCUAUCCCUCCCGGAGAAAUAUGAUGGGACACCAUCCAAAUGCUGUAGCAUCCUCCUUCAGUGCUCCCUCUAUUUCGGAGCCCCCACCACGAGAGGUCUAAGGUUGCCACGGUUAUUUCUCUGCUGACUGGGCAGGCAUUGGAAUGGGCUACGGCCGUCUGGGAGAGAGGAGAGGAGGAGCUCGAGUCUUAUGAGGGGUUCAUGGCUCUGUUUAAAUGUAUUUUCAAUCAUCCUGCGGAGGGCAGAGAGGGAAGUGAGUGUCUGCUUCAGCUCCAGCAGGGGAAUCAGACGGCUGCUGAGUAUGCACUUACCUUCCAGACAGUAGCAGCUUCCAGUGGAUGGAAUGAGCUGGCGCUCAGCACAUUAUGUAGAAGAGGUCUACUCGAGGAGGUCCAGACAGAACUUGCCUGCCGAGAUGACAACCUCACCCUGGACACACUCAUUGCGAUGGCCAUCCGUCUGGAUAACCUCCUCCGGAAGUGUCGGCAUCUCCAUCGCUCCUCUCCCUCCUUCAGCGAGUGUUUGGGAUCAGUGCCUGAACCCAUGGAGGUAGCGGUCACAUGUCUUCCCGCGGCGCAUACGGAUACAGCUGGGGCUCUGUCUGUAUUGCAGCCAGGGAGGGCACAAGCGCCAGCGGUGUCCAUUACUUCAGAAUAUGGGAUCCACUAGAGCAAAGGGAUGGUCACGUGAUGUUACAUCCCCCGGACCAGGAGUGAGUAUUCCAUCUACUGCUCUUCCUGACUCUUUUUAGUACCCAUCACUCUAGCUGACUGUCCCUCAUGCUCUGUGUUUACAGCUUUAGUGGAUUCUGGCGCCGCGGGGAACUUUAUGGAUCAGACCCUUGCUUCAUCUCUCAAUAUUACUACCUACCCGCUCUCCUCUCCUUUUCCGGGUCAAGGUCUUGACUGUUGGCCUCUAAGAUCUGGAACCAUCACACACAUCACCCAACUACUCACCCUCACAGUGGAGCCCAUUCACCAGGAAAACAUCCCCUUCUUCAUCACCAGUGCACCAGUUCACAAGAUCAUCCUUGGUCUACCUUGGCUUCAGGGCCACAACCCUACCAUCUCAUGGUCGAGGAUGAGAAUCACCGACUGGUCACCUGAAUGCCAGAAGGCCUGCUUUCCUGUCCUCUGUGGUUCCACAUCGGUUGAGAGUCUUGUGGUUGCCCUCCAGCCCAACAUCCCGGAGGAAUAUCAGGAUCUAAGGGAGGUAUUCUCCAAGAUCCAUGCUACAUGUCUCCCUCCUCAUCACACCUGGGACUGUGCCAUUGACCUGUUUUUCCGGUGCUACACCUCUGGGCAGACGCAUCUACCCUCUGUCGGUGGCUGAGACCCAGGCCAUGGAGGACUACAUUCAAGAGGUGCUCCAACAGGGUUUCAUCCGCAGGUCCAUGUCCCCUGCGUCGGCUGGUUUCUUCUUAGUGGCCAAGAAGGAGGGAGGAUUACGCCCUUGUAUCGAUUACUGUGGAUUCAAUGACAUCUCCACAAAGUAUCGGUACCCUCUCCCGCUGCUACCGUCAGCCAUCGAGCAGCCGGUUCUUCACCAAACAAGACCUGCGGAGUGCCUACAAUCUCAUUCGCAUCCGGGAGGGGGAUGCGUGGAAGACUGCAUUCAGCACGAUGUCUGGUCACUACAAGUACUUGGUUAUGCCCUUUGGCUUAGCCAAUUUUCCGUCAGUGUUCCAGGCAUUGGUCAACGAGGUGUUCAGGGACAUGCUCAGACAUCGAGCAGUACAUUGGGUUCUUGGUCACCUCCCUGACCAAGGUCCUACUUGCCCAGUUGCACAGUUUGCUGGGGAAACCAAUUCUAGGCAGAGUCUGGGUAGUUCUAUAUUUUUUUCAAUUUCCCAAUGAUGGAGACCGCUGCUCUUGGAAAAUAUCCACGCUCAAUAAAUGGUUUUAUACCCUUCCCCAGAUAUGCCUCAUCACAAUUCUAUCUCAGAGCUCUACAGACAAUUCCUUGGACUUCAUGGUAUAGUUUCUGCUCUGACAUGCACUGUCAACUGUGGGACCUUAUUUUGACAGGUGUGUUUCUUUCUAAAUCAUGUCCAAACAUUUGAAUUGGCCACAGGUGGACUCCAACCAAGUUGUAGUGACAACUCAAGGACAUCUUAUUUUCAAUAAAUAAGCUAACAUUUCUAAAAACGUGUUUUCACUUUAUCAUUAUGAGGUAUUGUGUGUAAAUGGGUGAAAUAAAUACAUUUAUUUAAUCUAUUUUGAAUUCAGGCGGUAACACAACAGAAUAAUGAGUCAAGGGGUAUGAAUAAGUCAAGGGGUAUGAAUACAUUCUGAAGGCACUGUAGCCAUGGCAGUAUGGUCAAUCAGGAAUGCCAUGCUUCCUUUUUUGCCUUCUUAGACAUAACUAACCCAGAGAUAUACUGGUAACAAAUCCCACAUGUGCUGAUUGUCAACAUAUGAAGUGUAAAACAUAUGGUUGGUUUGUAUGAUUAAAUGCUGUUCUAAUGUUAAAUGAAUGAAAUAAGGUGCAGAUUGUCAACAUAUUAUUAAAAAUACAAUAUCUUUGGUUAUGGAAAGUAUAUUUCACAGCAGUUUAGAUCUUGCAAUGAUUCUCUACACUAUACUUGCUUGUUUUAUCACAUAAACUGAAAUUAGGCUAACUAUUAGAACUUUAGCAACCAGGAAAUGACAGAGCAAUUUUGGCAUAUUGCAUCUUUAAAUGCUGUUCAAAUGUCCUAUAAACUAAAUUAAAAUGCCAUGCGUCUCGAAAUCACCUUCAAAUGUGAAUUGCCAUUAAAUCUGGAGAGAAACAUAAUGGGGAUGUAUUACAAUCUGCUUUCUUAUGCUUUAAGGAGCUACACAUUUGCAUGUUGAGAAUGUUGUGGUAAUAUUAAAACUAAAAUAACAAAUUCUAAAUGUUCUUGAAAUGUUCUGAUGACCUCCAAGACAAGGUAAAAUGUGCAACAUUGUGGGAAUGUUCUGCUCAACCUAUGUGAAUAUUACAAGAAAUUUCAUGCGACAUCCCAAACAACUCCCAUAACUUAAUGAAAUGUUCUGGGAACCUUUGAAGAACUUAGACCAGGUGUUCUGUCAACAUUCUUACAAUAUUUUAGGGAUGUCAUGUGUAACCUAAUUUGAACACUGUAUGAAUGUCAUCACUGUUUUGUGUUUUGAGAACCUAUCUCUUAUCAUUCCCAGAACACAGACUAAACGUUAUUAUUAUUCUAUAUUUGAUUGUAUUCUGCAUCGUUGGGAAGGGCCCAUAAGCAUUUCACUGUUAGUCUACAUUGGUUGUUUGCGAAGCAUGUGACAAUUAAAAUGUAAUUUGUAACAUCAGGUGAAUGUUUUUUUGCACCCUAAAAUAAAUAUUGCAAAAUUAUCUGCACACCUUAAUUGGGGAGGACAGGCUCGUGGUAAUGUCUGGAGUGGACUUCGUGGAAUGGUAUCAAAUACAUGAAACAAAUGGUUUCCAUGUGUUUGAUGUCAUUUCAUUCACUCCGUUCUGGCCAUUAUUGUGAGCCGUCCUCCCCUCAACAGCCUCCUGUGAGCCGCACAACUGGACAGUUAUUGUGUUUUGGGAACAUAUAUUUUGUGAUGUCCCCACAGUGUUCUCACCAGUCUGUUCCCACAACCUAAUGAAACAUUCUGGGAACCGUUUAAAGAACAAAUUAAAUGUGUUAUAGGAAUAUUCUUGCUAAAUGUUUUUUUGCACCCUAAAAGAAACACUGUAGAAUCAUCCGCACAACUGGACAACCUUCACAGAACCAAUUUCAAGUUGGGUCCUGAUGCAAAACUAGGUGAGAAACUCUGGUCCAACUUCCCUGAACCUACAGUGAAUAAAAUGAUUCUUUGCG